rnacentral:rRNA from 1 species
UACAGAGGGUGCGAGCGUUAAUCGGAAUUACUGGGCGUAAAGCGCGCGUAGGCGGCUUUGCAAGUCGGGUGUGAAAUCCCCAGGCUUAACCUGGGAACUGCAUUCGAGACUGCAUUGCUAGAGUAUGGGAGAGGGAAGUGGAAUUUCCGGUGUAGCGGUGAAAUGCGUAGAUAUCGGAAGGAACAUCAGUGGCGAAAGCGACUUCCUGGACCAAUACUGACGCUCAUGUGCGAAAGCAUGGGGAGCAAACAGG